rnacentral:rRNA from 1 species
GUGCUUACACAUGCAAGUCGAACGGUGAUGACCAGCUUGCUGGUCGGAUCAGUGGCGAACGGGUGAGUAACACGUGAGUAACCUGCCCCAGACUCUGGGAUAAGCCUUGGAAACGAGGUCUAAUACUGGAUAUGAGAUGCCCCUGCAUGGGGAGUGUCUGGAAAGAUUUAUCGGUCUGGGAUGGACUCGCGGCCUAUCAGCUUGUUGGUGGGGUAAUGGCCUACCAAGGCGACGACGGGUAGCCGGCCUGAGAGGGCGACCGGCCACACUGGGACUGAGACACGGCCAGACUCCUACGGGAGGCAGCAGUGGGGAAUAUUGCACAAUGGGCGCAAGCCUGAUGCCAGCGACGCCGCGUGACGGGAUGAAGGCCUUCGGGUUGAAAACCUCUUUCAACCAGGGAAGAAGCGC